GACGAACGCUGGCGGCGUGCUUAACACAUGCAAGUCGAACGGAAAGGCCCUGCUUUUGUGUGGUGCUCGAGUGGCGAACGGGUGUGUAACACGUGAGUAUCCUGCCCUUGACUUUGGGAUAACUUCAGGAAACUGGUGCUAAUACCGGAUAGGAGCUCCUGCUGCAUGGUGGGGGUUGGAAAGUUUAGGCGGUUGGGGAUGGACGCGCGGCUUAUCAGCUUGUUGGUGGGGUAGUGGCUUACCAAGGCUUUGACGGGUAGCCGGCCUGAGAGGGUGACCGGCCACAUUGGGACUGAGAUACGGACCAGAGUGCUACGGGAGGCAGCAGGGGGGAAUAUUGCACAAUGGGCGGAAGCCUGAUGAAGCAACGCCGCGUGCGGGAUGACGGCCUUCGGGUUGGAAACCGCUUUCGCCUGUGACGAAGCGUGAGUGACGGUAAUGGGUAAAGAAGCACCGGCUAACUACGUG
rnacentral:rRNA from 1 species